AGAGUUUGAUCCUGGCUCAGAACGAACGCUGGCGGCGCGUCUUAAGCAUGCAAGUCGAGCGGCAAGGAUAGCAAUAUCCCUAGAGCGGCGGACUGGUGAGUAACGCGUGGGUGAUCUACCUCGGGGCUGGGGAUAGCUCGUGGAAACACGUGGUAAUACCGAAUAAGUUCUUUUGACUUUCGUUGAAAGAGGAAAGGCGCGAUUGCGCCGCCCUGAGAUGAGCCUGCGUCCAAUUAGCUAGUUGGUGGGGUAAUGGCCUACCAAGGCGAUGAUGGGUAGCCGGCCUGAGAGGGUGUACGGCCACAUUGGGACUGAGAUACGGCCCAAACUCCUACGGGAGGCAGCAGCUAAGAAUAUUCCGCAAUGGACGAAAGUCUGACGGAGCGACGCCGCGUGGAUGACGAAGGCCGUGAGGUUGUAAAAUCCUUUUAUUGGGGAAGAAUAAGCAUGGGAGGAAAUGCCUGAGUGAUGACAUGAACCGAUGAAUAAGCCCCGGCUAACUACGUGCCAGCAGCCGCGGUAACACGUAGGGGGCAAGCGUUGUUCGGAAUUAUUGGGCGUAAAGGGCAUGUAGGCGGUUACUCAAGCCUGGCGUGAAAUCCCGUAGCUUAACUACGGAAUCGCGUCGGGAACUGUGUGACUUGAAUCGUGGAGAGGGAGCUAGAAUUCCAGGUGUAGGGGUGAAAUCUGUAGAUAUCUGGAAGAAUACCGGUGGCGAAGGCGAGCUCCUGGCCAAUGAUUGACGCUGAGGUGCGAAAGCGUGGGGAUCAAACAGGAUUAGAGACCCUGGUAGUCCACGCCAUCAACGAUGUGCACUGGGUGUUGGAGCAGAAGCUUCAGUGCCGUAGCUAACGCGAUAAGUGCACCGCCUGGGGAGUAUGCUCGCAAGGGUGAAACUCAAAGGAAUUGACGGGACCCCGCACAAGCGGUGGAGCAUGUGGUUUAAUUCGAUCGUACGCGAGGAACCUUACCUGGGUUUGACAUAUGGUGGAAUACGGUAGAGAUACCGUAGUCCCGCAAGGGACCGCUAUACAGGUGCUGCAUGGCUGUCGUCAGCUCGUGCCGUGAGGUGUUGGGUUAAGUCCCGCAACGAGCGCAACCCCUACUGCCAGUUACUAACAGGUAACGCUGAGGACUCUGGCGGAACUGCCGGUGACAAACCGGAGGAAGGUGGGGAUGACGUCAAGUCAUCAUGGCCCUUAUGUCCAGGGCUACACACGUGCUACAAUGGGCGGUACAGAGUGAUGCGAAGCCGCGAGGUGAAGCAAAUCGCAGAAAACCGCCCGUAGUUCGGAUUGAAGUCUGAAACUCGACUUCAUGAAGUUGGAAUCGCUAGUAAUCGCGCAUCAGCACGGCGCGGUGAAUACGUUCCCGGGGUUUGUACACACCGCCCGUCACACCAUCCGAGCUGAAGGUACCCGAAGCAGUUAGUUUAACCAGCAAUGGAGAACGAUUUCUAAGGUAUGUUUGGUAAGGAGGGUGAAGUCGUAACAAGGUA
rnacentral:rRNA from 1 species